rnacentral:rRNA from 1 species
CCCUUAGAUGUCCUGGGCCGCACGCGCGCUACACUGAGUGUCUGAGAUACGAGUCUGCCCGGUCCGGCAAGGUCUAGGUAAUCGCUAAAAGACACAUCAUGCUUGGGAUAGAUUAUUGCAAAUAUUAAUCUUGAACGAGGAAUUCCUAGUAAGCGCAAGUCAACAGCUUGCGUUGAUUACGUCCCUGCCCUUUGUACACACCGCCCGUCGCUACUACUGAUUGGAUGUUUAAGCGAGGUUCUCGAACUGCUAGCGACUUAGCUUCGGUGAGGUCGCAGUGUGGGAAGUGAACCUAGCUUUGGUGUCUAGAGGAAGUAAAAGUCGUAGCA